AUAUAUAUAUAUAUAUAUACACACACAUAUGUAUACGCGCACGUGUGUGUGUGUGUGUGUGUGUGUAUAUAUAUAUAUAUAUAUAU